GACGUAGGGCGCGAGCGUUGUCCGGAUUUAUUGGGCGUAAAGAGCUCGUAGGCGGCUUGUCGCGUCGGCUGUGAAAUCCCGUGGCUCAACUGCGGGUCUGCAGCCGAUACGGGCAGGCUAGAGUUCGGCAGGGGAGACUGGAAUUCCUGGUGUAGCGGUGAAAUGCGCAGAUAUCUGGAGGAACACCGGUGGCGAAGGCGGCAUCCUGGACCGGCAUUGACGCUGAGGCGCGAAAGCUAGGGGAGCAAACGGG
rnacentral:rRNA from 1 species